GAGGCUUGCGCUGGAAAGCCCAAAGAAAGAGGAUGGAGGAAAGAAAUGUGUAGUAAGGAUUGGGAGCCAAAGGGCCUUUCUCCUUCAGUUUGACAUUACAGUUGGCUAGGGCCCAACCAUGGACAGUUUAACUUGGUUCAUUUGUUGAGUUUAUGCUCCUAUCCUACAAAAUUCUUGCCGACUCCCCCCCCCCCCCCUUUAAAUGGUACGUCAUAGAGAACAGCAAAAGCUACGGAGUGGCUAUGGUGUCUCACGUUGUCUCACGCGACUUCCUAGAUUCCAGAGGCUUCUUUUCUGUGGGCGUGGCCAAGGCAGCGGGGGUUUAUGACAAAGUUGAGCGACCUCAUGUCACUCAAACCAGCUGUAUUAAGGAAGGUGCAAGCUUUUGGGAUUUCUGUUUGGAUUUAGUUUAGGUUCAAAAGAGCACGCACAGAUCCUGAGUGUUGUCAAGCACCCGUGACUGGGAAACGGAGGCGUCCGAUCCGUAUUGGAGUCAAUUCGCCACUUAAUUGAACACAGCCUCGAAGGGAAGGGCCAUAUUUGUGGGCCUGUCUAACAAUUAAGAGUGACCACAUGGAAUGGGGGAUGAAAGGGUUAAAGAAGAACAAAUAUUGAACACAGCUUUUCUAUGAACAAACUGCAGGCAGCUGCUGCUUUGCAAGGUUGGUGAGGUCAGCUGACUACUAGAAGACAGAUCUAUUUGAAGAUUUUUGUGGUGGUCUUUACUACUCCAGAGAUUUACAGCUGAUGAAAAAUGGAGAAGUACAUGACCCUACCCUGCUGUUGGACAUGCUACCCAAGGAUCAUGACUGACAACUUGUCAACAUCACUAUUGCUUAUUUAAUAAAUGUGCAGUACUACUUCAAUAAACCUGGAAUCAUAAAAUUUUAGAGAACAAACCUUAAAUUACAUCUCUUCA
rnacentral:lncRNA from 1 species